AUGAAAAUCCUUAACUAGUCUAACCUUAACUGUAACCAGACUCUGAGUGUUCUUUGGUGAAGAGGGGGUGCCCUCUGUGUGAGGAAAAUGGGGGAGAAAAGAAGAGAAAAGGGGACAAAAAUAAAAUGUUACACUGUUCACUUAUGACUGAGCGGAAAUCCCACAAGUCUCCUCAGACCAUCUGAUGUUUACAGAGGCAGGAAGUAGAGCUGCUGUUCUCUCAGGUGAUGUCACUCGUAAAACAAGAGCGGAGCUCGACGGCUCGAUGAAUCAAAUAGACUCAGAUCCUGCUGGGAGGAAGAGACUCGAGGCAUAAGACGAGGAGCGACUUCAAAUAGCGUCGGAUUUCACUUGUUUUGGAAACGGCAUCUUUAAGCUUUUUAGGUUCCCUUCUCCUGACAACUGCCAAAUCUGCUUUUGCCAUCGGAGCCAUGUUUACCUCCGUCCUUAAGUUGUACUUCAUCGGCACAGCUCUGACCGUCUUCGCCGUCAUCUAUGGAAUCGUGGACUCCGUCGGAGGAACGAUGCACCUCCCGAACCACCACUACCACCACCAUGGCGACGCGCUGGGCCGCGUCACGCAGCAAGAGCUCUCGCCACGAAACCACCCGAGACAAUCGUCUGUGACUAAGAGAGUCGGCUCGUGAUAAGGGGGACAUCCCAGUUUACGGACCUGUCCGCUGGAUGGACACGUUGGACACUGUUACGUUGAACAAAGGGACAUUUUUGUGCUGGUUCAGUUGCUGAUCAUUACUGUAUAUCUGACAUGUUUGGAAAUGUUGUGCACUGUGUUGAUAGGAAGGACGUCUAAUCCCACAAUGUGUGUUUUUUUUUUUUGGUUUUUUUAUUUGGUCUACUUUACACAUGUUAAAGCUUAACUUUACAUCUGAUGACAAACGUAACAGCACUACUGAAAAAUGACUUGCACUAAACAUAAGAAAUGUUUCUCCUGGGGUUAUUUUUUUUGUGUGAAAUAAAACAAAUGGAAUUGAA